rnacentral:rRNA from 1 species
AAAGUGGGAAUCGUCCUUAAGUUGGACUUUGAAAAAGCCUAUGAUAAGGUGAAUUGGGACUUUCUCCUAGAAUGCCACAAGAUGCGGGGCUUUGACAAAACCUGGUGUGGUUGGAUUGAAAAGAUACUGCACAAUGGGACAGUGAGCAUCAAAUUAAAUGGUAGUGUUGGGCCGUAUUUUCAAAGCAAAAAAGGGGUUAGGCAGGGGGAUCCACACUCUCCUUUCCUGUUCAACCUAGCAGUUGAAUGCCUCACCAAAAUGAUCAAAAAUGCCCAAAAAAACAAAGUUAUUGUGGGCUUGGCUGCAGACCUCAUCCCUGAUGGGGUGGCAGUCCUGCAAUAUGCGGAUGAUACAAUCAUUUGUAUCGAG